rnacentral:misc_RNA from 1 species
AUCAAGUUCAAGAGGGCAAUUAAGACAGAUUAUACAAUAUCAUACUAUUUAUUUAUUUAUAUUUUCCAAAAUACAAACAGUAAUCCAAAAGAAAGAAAACACACCCAAUAUAUUAAAAGUUAGGACCUUCCACUGCUGUUACUGUUACCGGAGCCAUUACCGUUACGCUGCUGAUAAGUAGCAGAGAAAUUGGAAGACAAAUCGGCGUAAAGCGAGACAACCUUGGAGAU